GUGAUGAACAGAAAUGGUUAUUCUGGAUCGAGGAGUUAGGGUUUUAAUUAAGAGCGAUGGGGAGAGGGAAGAUCGCGAUAAGGAGGAUCGACAAUUCCACGAGCAGGCAAGUGACGUUCUCGAAGCGAAGGAACGGUUUGUUGAAGAAGGCGAAGGAGCUUGCGAUUUUGUGCGAUGCUGAGGUUGGAGUUAUGAUCUUUUCCAGCACUAACUCUAUGAUUUCUCCAGUACCAGCUGCUCAAGACUCAGAAAAAGGCAAGGGUUGGAAGCGAUUUGAGUUUGACAAGGAUGAGCCUCUUGAAGAUGAGGAAAUUGAAGUGGCUGAAGAUGAUGCUUCCUUGGUCAAGCAAAUUGGCCAGAGUUUUCGGUAUUCUAAAAUAGAGGAAAGAAGGGAGGAACAAAUCCAAGCUGCUCAUGACGAAGCCAUGUUUGGUGCUUCAGCACUUCCACCUCCUACCAGUACUGACAGUGAGCCUGAAAGGGAGAAUGAGAAAGAAGUUGAUAAAAAAGCUAUUGUUACAAGCCUCUUAAGUGAAACGCAAUCCUCUUCAAGCUUCUCUUUGAAAAUUGGAAAGACUGCCAUCUCGUUCAACAAGGAUGGAUAGACAUGCACAACCAAAGAGAAAUAAUGAGUUUGAUUGCACUCUUUGCCUGAAGUUGCUGUAUGAACCUGUUACAACCCCUUGUGGACAUUCCUUUUGCCGUUCAUGUCUAUUUCAGUCAAUAGAUUCUGGGAACAGAUGCCCUUUGUGCAGGAUAGUCCUGUUUAUUAGUCCAAGAACAUGUUCAAUCAGGUAAAGCUGUCAAAAAUUUGACUUAUUAUGUAGUUCUCUGAUUGUAAGUUUGUAGUUCAAUACUCCCUUUGGUGUUUAUACAAGGCACAUCCUAGGGUUAUGAGGACACAUUUAGCUAAAUUUGGUUUAGUCUUAGAUGUUGGAACAAAAUAAAAGUUCUAAUUGAUUUUAUGGACAGCUUUUUUUUGCUAAGAUAUUUAUA